rnacentral:rRNA from 1 species
CCUACGGGAGGCAGCAGUGGGGAAUAUCGGACAAUGGGCGAAAGCCUGAUCCAGCAAUGCCGCGUGAGUGAUGAAGGCCUUAGGGUUGUAAAGCUCUUUUACCAGGGAUGAUAAUGACAGUACCUGGAGAAUAAGCUCCGGCUAACUCCGUGCCAGCAGCCGCGGUAAU